rnacentral:misc_RNA from 1 species
AAAGACGGCGAACGGCCAAAGAAACGUUACCUCUGUAACGCGUAUAUGGCGGUUAUCGCCUGCUUUCAGUGGAAAAGAGUGAGUCAGCCUCCAUGAUAAGCAGCCACAACAACUCGAAGCGAUUGCGACUCUGCUAGCGGCCUUGUUUGAAAGAGUUGAGUUUCUGGGCGUAAUGAAGAAAACCGCAUGACCGUAUCCCGAAGCAGUGAAUGGCUGUUGACGUGGUUGACGUCAGCCGUUCGUCACUAUCAGCGCUCUGUUAACUAAAAAAAAGGGAGGCCGGACACUUACACAACGAGCAGAAAUGCAUCGAGUACCAGGAAUUAGUAUCUGGCGAGAUUGGUGGGGUCUGUCAGCGCCGUGACCUCCUUUCGCACGUGUUUUUACUCGCAUCUGCGUCGAAAUGACCGAAAAUAACGUAAUAAACGCGAAGUUACGCGUUUCGUCGGAAGUUCAGUUCCUUCCAUGAGUGGUGAUUGCCGAAGCACUCGCACGCCGGAACAACCUGGUCGACAUAUCAGAACACACCAAAGUUUUCACGCGUUCGUAGAACGCUGAUGCCGAGUGGUUCUGAGGAAGCGAAGCUUGAAAGCAUCUAUUUAAACGACGAAGCGUGCGCUCUUGGGUGCGACGGCCUGAAGCUCCAACCCUUGCCUUCUGCGGGCACUAGCUAGCGCUUAGCUGCACAAUGUUCGGAGUCCGUCUGCUAGUGGAACUCGUCAUCGCCUUGCUACUGAACCUGACGGGGGCUCAUCCGAUAUGCUACUCAAGAGAGGGCCCCAGCCAUUGUUAUUACUUCUGCGAAGCUUUCACAAGCACUCAGGACUUCCUCAGGAUAGACCGCUACCGUGCGCAGAAUUGCACGUACUUCGUUCUCAAGGACAGUUCCUUGGAACGCUUGCCUUCGAAUGCUUUUGUCGGCACUAGCAUUUCCGUGCUGCAUUUCAUGAACGUCACUGUAGGCGCAUACGGCGAUCGACAGGGGAUCGCUCCGAGUCCGUUCGAUGCCCUCAAGGACUCACUGUGCAAGCUGAUCUUCAGCGACCAACCGAAGGCCCUCGAGUCUUGGAACCUGCUACGUGGGCUCAAGAGACUGGAAACACUCCUGCUGCUGCACGUGAAAAAGGUCAACCUGACGGCUGAUUUCAACCAUCUGCCGCCAAGCGUGAAAGAGAUCCAGGUUCUGGGAGCGCACGUAGAUCAAGUCGAUCAAGACUGGCUGGCCGAGCUGCAUGGGCUAAACGCCGUCGCGGUCAAAGAGACGAACCUGGAGAGCGUAUCGAGGUCCAUGUUGCCCAGGCCUGCACCAAAGCUGAUGAUCCUCGACUUCGCGGACAACCGUCUCACAUCGCUGCCUAAGGACCUCACCACCGAUAUGCCUGCACUGCGAGAGUUGGACGUCGGCUACAAUGAGAUCACCACGCUACAUGAAAGCACCUUGGCGCCGCUGAAGAGAAAUCGAGGGCUCGUCAGAAUGAUCGGAAACCCGUUGACAUGCGACUGUCGGCUGGCGUUCCUCCUCACGUACCCGAAGAAGUGGAACUACUACCCAUGUGCCAAGCCGCUGUCUUUGGCGACCAGGUCCAUCCAGUCCCUCACGGAAGCGGAGCUAUGCAAUGAAACCAGUGAUCGUGACGUGAGCAACGCCGUCUAAACAGAGGAGCUCUGAGCCCUGCCAUCACAUAGCGGAUCGGCAACUUUUGCCAUCAGUGGCGACGGCGAGCAGCAGCGCUUAUCUAGAUCUUCAAGCUUGCCAAGCCUGAUUAGACAGUGGUGAAGUCAGUCCACGUAUUCAACGUUGCAGCCGUAGAGUUUCUUAUAAUUACCGAGAGAGAAAAGGGGGCGGCGCUGCAGUGCUGGUUCUUGCAUGGAAGUUUACAGAUGCGGAGGCUUCGGAAUGUUACUUUUCUCUCAGCGCCAGGACUCCUUGAGGACAUGUCUGGCGACAACUGCUCCUUCUGUUACAGUAGUCUGGUCUCUACUGAAGCAGAGUGUAAGAUGCAACUUAACCUUUCAUAAAGUCUAGGAAGUGCUUUCGUUAAGACACGCACUCAAGACGGGGUGUACAAUAAUGUCGAACGUAAAUGGUACCACCGUAUAGGAUCGCUAAAGUUCUAGGAAAGACGCGAAGGUACGACGCUCACAGUGCGACCAUUUCCAUUGUAUGUUUCUGUUUUCUUCGAUUACUUGUUAUGCUGUGUAUCAGCAAACUAUAGUGGAAGGUGCAUUGUAGCAGUGCUAAAGCUUGUUGGGAACACGUAAUUCCAAAGAAGAGUUAUGGCUUUAUUAAUGCUGCCGUACACCGCUGCCGUAACCCUGAUU